UACAGAGGUCUCAAGCGUUGUUCGGAUUCAUUGGGCGUAAAGGGUGCGUAGGUGGCGCCGUAAGUCGGGUGUGAAAUUUCGGAGCUUAACUCCGAAACUGCAUUCGAUACUGCGGUGCUUGAGGACUGGAGAGGAGACUGGAAUUCAUGGUGUAGCAGUGAAAUGCGUAGAGAUCAUGAGGAAGACCAGUGGCGAAGGCGGCUCUCUGGGACGGUACUGACGCUGAGACGCGAAAGCGUGGGGAGCGAACAGG
rnacentral:rRNA from 1 species